rnacentral:rRNA from 1 species
GACGAACGCUGGCGGCGUGCUUAACACAUGCAAGUCGAACGGAAAGGCCCUGCUUUUGUUGGGUGCUCGAGUGGCGAACGGGUGAGUAACACGUGAGUAACCUGCCCUUGACUUUGGGAUAACUUCAGGAAACUGGGGCUAAUACCGGAUAGGAGCUCCUGCUGCAUGGUGGGGGUUGGAAAGUUUCGGCGGUUGGGGCUGGACUCGCGGCUUAUCAGCUUGUUGGUGGGGUAGUGGCUUACCAAGGCUUUGACGGGUAGCCGGCCUGAGAGGGUGACCGGCCACAUUGGGACUGAGAGAGGGAGCAGACGCCUACGGGAGGCAGCAGUGGGGAAUAUUGCACAAUGGGCGGACGCCUGAUGCAGCAACGCCGCGUGCGGGAUGACGGCCUUCGGGUUGUAAACAGCUUUCGCCUGUGACGAAGCGUGAGUGACGGUAAUGGGUAAAGAAGCACCGGCUAACUACGUG